UACGGAGGGUGCUAGCGUUGUUCGGAAUUACUGGGCGUAAAGGGCGCGUAGGCGGCCGUUUGCGUCGGAUGUGAAAGCCCGGGGCUCAACCUCGGAACGGCAUUCGAUACGGGACGGCUGGAGACCGGGAGAGGAGAGUGGAAUAGCCAGUGUAGAGGUGAAAUUCGUAGAUAUUGGCUGGAACACCGGUGGCGAAAGCGGCUCUCUGGCCCGGUUCUGACGCUGAGGCGCGAAAGCGUGGGUAGCAAACAGG
rnacentral:rRNA from 1 species